CAGACUCCUACGGGAGGCAGCAGUGGGGAAUAUUGCACAAUGGGCGCAAGCCUGAUGCAGCCAUGCCGCGUGUAUGAAGAAGGCCUUCGGGUUGUAAAGUACUUUCAGUUGUGAGGAAGGGGGUGUUGUUAAUAGCAACAUCUCUUGACGUUAGCAACAGAAGAAGCACCGGCUAACUCCGUGCCAGCAGCCGCGGUAAUACGGAGGGUGCGAGCGUUAAUCGGAAUUACUGGGCGUAAAGCGCAUGCAGGUGGUUCAUUAAGUCAGAUGUGAAAGCCCGGGGCUCAACCUCGGAACUGCAUUUGAAACUGGUGAACUAGAGUACUGUAGAGGGGGGUAGAAUUUCAGGUGUAGCGGUGAAAUGCGUAGAGAUCUGAAGGAAUACCAGUGGCGAAGGCGGCCCCCUGGACAGAUACUGACACUCAGAUGCGAAAGCGUGGGGAGCAAACAGGAUUAGAUACCCUGGUAGUCCACGCCGUAAACGAUGUCUACUUGGAGGUUGUGGCCUUGAGCCGUGGCUUUCGGAGCUAACGCGUUAAGUAGACCGCCUGGGGAGUACGGUCGCAAGAUUAAAACUCAAAUGAAUUGACGGGGGCCCGCACAAGCGGUGGAGCAUGUGGUUUAAUUCGAUGCAACGCGAAGAACCUUACCUACUCUUGACA
rnacentral:rRNA from 1 species